GAUGAACGCUGGCGGCGUGCCUAAUACAUGCAAGUCGAGCGAACAGACGAGGAGCUUGCUCCUCUGACGUUAGCGGCGGACGGGUGAGUAACACGUGGAUAACCUACCUAUAAGACUGGGAUAACUUCGGGAAACCGGAGCUAAUACCGGAUAACAUGUUGAACCGCAUGGUUCAACAGUGAAAGACGGUCUUGCUGUCACUUAUAGAUGGAUCCGCGCCGCAUUAGCUAGUUGGUAAGGUAACGGCUUACCAAGGCAACGAUGCGUAGCCGACCUGAGAGGGUGAUCGGCUACACUGGAACUGAGACACGGUCCAGACUCCUACGGGAGGCAGCAGUAGGUAAUCUUCCGCAAUGGGCGAAAGCCUGACGGAGCAACGCCGCGUGAGUGAUGAAGGUCUUCGGAUCGUAAAACUCUGUUAUUAGGGAAGAACAAAUGUGUAAGUAACUAUGCACGUCUUGACGGUACCUAAUCAGAAAGCCACGGCUAACUACGUG
rnacentral:rRNA from 1 species